AGAGUUUGAUUCUGGCUCAGGAUGAACGCUAGCUACAGGCUUAACACAUGCAAGUCGAGGGGAAACGACAUCGAAAGCUUGCUUUUGAUGGGCGUCGACCGGCGCACGGGUGAGUAACGCGUAUCCAACCUGCCCAUCACUUGGGGAUAACCUUGCGAAAGUAAGACUAAUACCCAAUGAUAUCUCUAGAAGACAUCUGAAGGAGAUUAAAGAUUCAUCGGUGAUGGAUGGGGAUGCGUCUGAUUAGCUUGUUGGCGGGGUAACGGCCCACCAAGGCGACGAUCAGUAGGGGUUCUGAGAGGAAGGUCCCCCACAUUGGAACUGAGACACGGUCCAAACUCCUACGGGAGGCAGCAGUGAGGAAUAUUGGUCAAUGGGCGAGAGCCUGAACCAGCCAAGUAGCGUGCAGGAUGACGGCCCUAUGGGUUGUAAACUGCUUUUAUAAGGGAAUAAAGUGAGUCUCGUGAGACUUUUUGCAUGUACCUUAUGAAUAAGGACCGGCUAAUUCCGUGCCAGCAGCCGCGGUAAUACGGAAGGUCCGGGCGUUAUCCGGAUUUAUUGGGUUUAAAGGGAGCGUAGGCCGGAGAUUAAGCGUGUUGUGAAAUGUAGAUGCUCAACAUCUGCACUGCAGCGCGAACUGGUUUCCUUGAGUACGCACAAAGUGGGCGGAAUUCGUGGUGUAGCGGUGAAAUGCUUAGAUAUCACGAAGAACUCCGAUUGCGAAGGCAGCUCACUGGAGCGCAACUGACGCUGAAGCUCGAAAGUGCGGGUAUCGAACAGGAUUAGAUACCCUGGUAGUCCGCACGGUAAACGAUGGAUGCCCCUGGUUGGUCUGAAAUAAGGUCACCGGGCCAAGCGAAAGCAUUAA
rnacentral:rRNA from 1 species